UAAAUUUGACAACACGAGCUUUUAAAAAUCACUUUGACUGACAACUGAUUCUUUUUAUCUCUUCUGUUGUCCUCAAUUUUUGCCAACUACGAUAGUUACCGCGCAAGUUUACUUUUCAAAGUUCCGAAAAGAAAUACUUGAUUCUCUUCAGUUUAACGCGUUUUACGCCAUAUUCGGACGACAUAAGAAUCUAUUUAAAGGCCAGAAAUGGUUCCCAUUUCUUGUUUUUACCUGCACAUGCUACGGGCAUAUGAUUCAACCUGGAAACACAAAUCAAGACAUCGUCGGAACGCCUGUGAAGAAAAUGCAUACGAUCCUCAGGAGCUGCUGUUGGGCGCAGUAAACGGAAAAGCGCACGUUUGAUGUUUUGCUGCUGAUAGUGACCUCUCGAUCCCUACCGGAUUUCCCGCAGCAGCGUUGAAAAAGUCUCCGAAACAACGUUCUGCCACAACAAAAAUGCAAAUUAUUUAAAAUAAUUGAUUAUAACAAUGAAAUAAAAAGAAUUAAUUUGAAAUGAAAGGGUGAAUUAAAGAAA